CUAGUGUUCUUAUUAUUUAAGAAAGUAAAAGAAAUGCCAAAGUAUCAGAAAUAGGCUUGAUUGUAUGUAGCAGCUUUGGUGUUGCUGGGGCUAUUCCUGAGAGAGCUGGCUACUAGGACAAAUGGGCUAGAACAGCAACAAGGAUAAAAGAGUGAAGGCGUAAGAGAGUGGGGAGGUGACUAGGGGUGUGUGUGUAGGGGAAGCCCAUGAUAGGGUUUGGAUUUGUGUCCCCGUCCAAAUCUCAUGUCGAAUUGUAAUCCCCAAUGUUGGAAGAGGGGCCUGGUGGGAGCUGAUUGGAUCAUGAGGGCGGAUGACCCCCUUGCUGUUCCCUUGAUGGUGAGUUCUCAUGAGAUCUGGUUGUUUAAAAGUGUGUAGCACCUCCCCCUUUCCCCUCUUCCUCCUGCUCCAGCUAUGAAAGACCUGCCUCCUUCCUUUUUGCCUUCUGCCAUGAUUGUAAGUUUCCUGAGCCCUCCACAGUCAUGCUUCCUGUACAGCCUGUGAAACUACUCCAAGUUCUUCAGUUUUUGGACUCGGGCUGGCUCUCCUUACUCCUCAGCUUGCAGACUGCCCGUUGUGGGAUCC
rnacentral:lncRNA from 1 species